UAAUCUACCCUCCGGGUGGGGGAAUAACUCCUCGAAAGGGGAGCUAAUGCCGACAAUUCGCAGCGGUAUCGCAAGGUACCGUUGGAAAGCCGCACCGUGGGUGCGGCGCCCGAAGAUGAGCUCACGUCCUAUCAGCUUGUUGGUGAGGUAAUGGCUCACCAAGGCUCCGACGGGUAGCUGGUCUGAGAGGACGACCAGCCACACUGGCACUGCGACACGGGCCAG
rnacentral:rRNA from 1 species